rnacentral:lncRNA from 1 species
AAAGGUUUGUUCAUGAGCUGUCAUGCUCGCUAGGCGAAGCCCACGUGUUAUGCAAACAAAACAAAAAAUGAAAAAAAAAUGAUAAAAAAAACGGAAAAAAAAAGAAAAAAAAAGAAAAAAAAAAGAAAAAAAGAAAAAAAGAAAAAGAAAAAGAAAUAAUUAAAUAAAUAAAUAAAUAAAAUAUAAUAGAAAAAUCUUGGACUUGGACCUCUCUCAUUUGAGCCCACAAAGCCAUGAGAAUCAGGUUAUAAAAGAGGGAGAACAGACAGAAAAAGGAAGAGAAGCAAAACACUCUGAGGUCUCCUUGAAACAAAACCCUAGACAAAACCUGGAGAGAAA